rnacentral:lncRNA from 1 species
CUGGCAGGGAAAUCUUUAGCAGUUUGACAAUAUGAUUUUAUAUUUGUGUUUCUGUGACAGUUCUGAUUCUAGAGUUCUACUGAAUCACUGACAACCAUGGCAACAUGAUGGGAAAAGAGACAAAAGAACCAUGCUGUUGAAGCUGUGAAGAAGAGACUGCUGUUGCUUGAGUUGAUUAUAGCUGUGUACCACUGUUAAUGGUAAAAACACAGGAAAACUCUUCCCUUGUCAGGCGACAUAAUGCACAUCAUCAUCAUAUCAGAUGUAGCAGAACCAGUAUUUUCCAAUGUAUAGUUACUUUCAGCUCUGCUCCCAAGGACUCAGACAGCACAUUUACUCCUCUGAAUAGUGGCUAUUGACCUCAUACCAACACUACAGUGGAACCGCAGGACAUCCUCUUUUGACACCUAGUAAGUGACCCUUUGUCAUUUUGUGUGUCCAUUAUCUCAUGAACUUCUUUAUUUUUUGUGUUGGUUUACUUA